AAAAAUAUGUCCAGGGUAGCCUAGUGGUCAUGGCAUCUGCCCGGUAAGCGGAAGGUCGUGGGUUCGAUUGGGUUGACACUUUUUUUA